UACGGAGGGUGCAAGCGUUGUCCGGAAUCACUGGGCGUAAAGGGCGCGUAGGUGGCGACCCAAGUCGAUGGUGAAAGCUCGCCGCUCAACGGCGAGUCGGCCACCGAUACUGGGUUGCUGGAGCACUGUAGAGGCAGAUGGAAUUCCGGGUGUAGCGGUGGAAUGCGUAGAGAUCCGGAAGAACACCGGUGGCGAAGGCGGUCUGCUGGGCAGUAGCUGACGCUGAGGCGCGACAGCGUGGGGAGCAAACAGG
rnacentral:rRNA from 1 species